rnacentral:misc_RNA from 1 species
CUCUCCUUUAACGCUUCAAGAAUUUUCGAUAAGGUUGAGAGUGUUCUUAAUUGAUUAAUAAUCAAGAAAUUUCCUCUUGGUUGUCAUUUUGCUUAAAUAUUUACCUUCAGAAUAAUGUUAUAUUCAUUAACCUCUAUUCUUGUUUUUCUGUAUUUCACCCCUGAUUUCGGAACGGGAAAUUCUGUGUUUCAUAAAUUUGAAAAAUUUGAAAAUUCACAAUUGGAUCCCAGUUUAAGUUAUAAAUCAGUAGAAUGGAAUGCAGAUUUUGAUUAUGUUCCAAGUCUUUAUGUUUGUCUUACUGUAUGUGAUAAAGAGGAAGGAUGCAGAGCUGUUGAUUAUGAUACUUCGAAUAAGAAAUGUAACUUAAAAAGAGCAUUUUAUGGUAUAGUCUCAAGUGGUCCGCAGAAACAAGUCUAUGCUAAAGUUCAUAAAGUCACCGAAUUUAAACUUUAUGAGAAUUCUGAAGAAGCUCCAGAUUUCCCUCUAGAAUCUUUAAUCUUUAAUUCUACCUUCCUAAACGGAACAACACUAGAAUACUGUCAGCAAAUGUGUAAUAUUGAUACAUUAUGCAAAGCAAUUUCGUUUUACUCUAGUACAAAUAUAUGUUAUUUUAAGAGUAAUUUUAUGGGAAAAGUGGAGAGUCCAGGUUGCAGUUUAUACGUGAAAAAAGAAAUUUCAUAUCAAUAUAGAUUGUUUGAAGAUUCAAUUCCAAUUCCCAGUCUACCGUUCACAUCUAUAAAGUGGGCGUCAUCUUCGCGAAAAGUUGAAAAUGUUGAAAGUUGUCUUCUUCAAUGCAACGAAGAUAUUAUUUGCAAAGCAAUUGAGUUUAAUGUUGAAAGUAUGGUUUGUAAUUUAAAAAGUGGCUUUUUUGGCAAAAACUUUUCUUCCGGCCAUAAUACGUACGUUAAACUAGAAAAAGAUUUAAAAUAUAACCUUUACGAUAAUUCUAUUGUUAAAGAUGAUAUACCUUUUACACCUUCAGUAUGGCAAUUGUCAAACCAAAAAGUUCCAGACAUAAGCAUAUGUCUGGAUAUUUGUAAUAGAUACGGAGAGUGCAAGUUUGAAAAAUUCAAUUUUCGAAUAGUCUAUUGAAUACUAUUUAUAAAACAAUUUCCUUCAGAGCAAUUGUAUAUGACAGCGAAACAUUACUGUGUUCCUUAAAAAGUGCCUAUUCUGGAAAAAAGUAUAAAGCUGGACAUAGAUUGAUAGUAAAAGCACAAAAGAGUAAACAUAAAUAUAUUAACCGUAUCACAAUUAAAUUCUUUCAAAUUAACAGUACAGAAUUUUCAAUUUAUUGAAAAUUCAGCUAUGGUUCCUAACAAUCCAUAUGGUUCUUUUAUUUGGGGACAACAUUUUAAGAAUGUUACUAAUGUUGAAGAAUGUCUUGAAGUAUGUUCAACCGAGGUUUUAUGCAGAGCAUUUGAAUUUCGAAAGGCCGAGAAAAUCUGCUUUUUAAAGAAGAUAUAUGCUGGAAAAACGAAUAGUAUGGCAUUCGAUAUAUAUUUUAAGUUUGAAGCUGAUGAAAAUCGAUGUGAUUAAUUAUUAUUGACAUAAAUUUAAUACAAGCCAUAGUAUACCUUGGAAAUGAUUAUUCAACAAAAAAUCUGUGAAAUUUGUCUAUACACACAAUGUAAAACGCUUUCACAACACUGAAUAUUUAUCUAGACAGUAAAAGCUUAAAUAGAGUUAAAUUAAAGGAAGUAGAAAUUCUUUAAAGCACCCACUGUCCCCUACUGUCAAAUGUGUGAAUACAGAGUAUUUGGAAGAAAAUUCACAAUGAAAUGCUCAAUCUGCUUUCAUCAAUUCAAUUAUCAUAAAAAUUGCAUUUCAAGGAAUAUUAACCUUUAUUAUUAUAUCAUUCAUAUUUAUUUCUAUAAAGUAGUCCGCAUAAAAAUUGGAACACCAUAAAUUUUGAUAGGCCGAACAUUAUUCUAUUUUUUUCUGUCUUAAAUAUUAGAUUAAACAUAGGAAAAGAGUAAAAAUGUUUGGCAAUGAAGAC